CUUGGUGGAACCCCAUGGGGACCUGGUGGAGCCCCAUGGGGACCUGGGGGACUUGGUGGAACCCCAUGGGGACCUUGUGGAACCCCAUAGGGACCUUGUAGAACCCCAUGGGGACCUCCUGGAGCUCCAUGGGGUCCAUAGGGACCUGGUGGAGCUCCAUAGGGACCUGGUGGAGCUCCAUGGGGUCCAUAGGAACCUUUGGAGCCCCAUGGGGACCUGGGGGAGGUGACAGCCCCAUGGGGACCUCAUGGGAACCCCAUGGGGAU